AGAAGCCCUGGGUUGUGGCCCCUAUCACUGCCUUCUUGGGAAGUUUGGGAACUUUGAGCCUUGGAUUUGACUAGAAUAACUCCAGGUAUUUACCUGCUUCCUGAACCUGCAUUGUGGACUCACCGUUACCUGCUUCUGCCUAUUGCCCUAUGAGCUGGCAACAAUUGUUACGUCACGGCAUGGCUGUGUGACUUCAUUUAAGCAGAGACUUGGUCUUAUGAAAUCUUCAAUUAAAAAAAUAAAAAGGGGAUAGAGAUUUCGAGAGUUGGAUCUAAAGAAAUAUUUGAAUCUUGAACUAAUCCAGAAUACGUGGGUCAAUUUGAUCCAUAAAGCAAAUGACGUUGGCUCCUGGACUCUACUUGAGGCUGUCUCUUCGUUUUGUAAGAUGAGACAGUUCCAGAGGUCUUCCACCUGGACCACUUCACCAAAAAGCUUCAUGAUGAAGUUCAUCAAAAGGAUCAUCUCCCUGUCCAGUCUUCUUAUUCUGACUGACUAAAUGCUUUACAACUAAACCUUGAUACUUUACCAAAAGAGCAUGCUGAUCCUGUGGAAAGAUAAAGGAGAAGAAACUUUAACAAACAUCAUUUAAUUUUCUGUGGAACAAGUGGAUUUGUUCACCAAUACACAAAAAAAAAUCUUCAUUUUUACAAAUCACUGGCCACACUACUUCCAAUGUGAGAAAAUAAAAUAUGCUUUAGUUUCAAAACAUAAUACAUCAAGAAUGCAAGAAAAUCACUAUCAUACUUCACUUGUAAUAGCUGCAGGAUCGUCUACUGCCAUCAUUAAAUCCGAGGCUAAGAAGUUGAAAAUGAGGUUUGAAACCUCUUCUUGCAAGUCCUUGAUUGUGCGCUUUCUACCAGUUCCAGAGGCAGAAGUUGAAGACAUGAACACUGAACGUACCACCUCGAGAUAAGCUUUGUUAAGAGGUCUGUGCACAAGAUAAAUAUAUUUAGUGUAGUAAAACACACUGCGUUUAUACAUAUAAGAAAUUUUGCUUCUAUGGAAAUAAGCCUUAAGAAAAGACCUCUAUACUUUUUAAACAAAUAAGAUGAAUUUGGAGAAUAACUCACAAGAAUUUGUCUUCAAUCCUAGGAUUUAUAACUUAAAUGCAUUAUUUUUCUCAAUUUUAAAGUACUCAAAAUUAUUGCACUAAAGACAGUAAGAACAGCAGUAACAGAAGUUUAAUUCAAAUUCAAUUCAAAGUAGUUUUUAGAAGUUAGUUUGGAGAACAGACUAUAAAUCUGUUCCCCAUCC